rnacentral:lncRNA from 1 species
UUUUUAACCACUUGCACUGCUGUAUUCCACUUUAUCUGCUGUAAAUCCAGCUUUCCAACAAGGCUUUGAACUCCUGGGAGAGAGAGCCCUGACCUGGUUUGUCUUUGACUGACAGGAUUGCUAGCGCAUGGUGGUCAUACCAGGGUUUCCAGCUGCUGAUCCUGAGUGGGCCUCCUGGAUGCCAGGUCUGGAAGACAGAGCUUUGCGCUCACGUUUCGGUGACAACCCCGGGAAUGGAGGUGAUGAUUCAGCUGGGCCAAGAACUGAGGCUACCACCUGGGUUCCUUGCUGUGUCGUGCCGAGUGCUGGAGCUGGGGUUGCCUGCUUUUGGCUCCAGGGUCCUGCUUCCUGGCCCCAUGAUGAUUCCUCCUCAGCUAUCCUAGUGUGAUGAUUGCUCUAUCCUUUUAACUUUUGGAAAUCAGAAAUUUCAAGGUCAU